rnacentral:rRNA from 1 species
AUUGAACGCUGGCGGCAGGCCUAACACAUGCAAGUCGAGCGGAUGAAGGGAGCUUGCUCCUGGAUUCAGCGGCGGACGGGUGAGUAAUGCCUAGGAAUCUGCCUGGUAGUGGGGGAUAACGUCCGGAAACGGGCGCUAAUACCGCAUACGUCCUGAGGGAGAAAGUGGGGGAUCUUCGGACCUCACGCUAUCAGAUGAGCCUAGGUCGGAUUAGCUAGUUGGUGGGGUAAAGGCCUACCAAGGCGACGAUCCGUAACUGGUCUGAGAGGAUGAUCAGUCACACGGGAACUGAGACACGGUCCAGACUCCUACGGGAGGCAGCAGUGGGGAAUAUUGGACAAUGGGCGAAAGCCUGAUCCAGCCAUGCCGCGUGUGUGAAGAAGGCCUUCGGAUUGUAAAGCACUUUAAGUUGGGAGGAAGGGCAGUAAGUUAAUACCUUGCUGUUUUGACGUUACCAACAGAAUAAGCACCGGCUAACUUCGUG